rnacentral:rRNA from 1 species
CCUACGGGAGGCAGCAGUGAGGAAUAUUGGUCAAUGGCCGCAGGGCUGAACCAGCCAAGUCGCGUGAGGGAUGACGGUCCUAUGGAUUGUAAACCUCUUUUGUCAGGGAGCAAAGGGCGCCACGUGUGGCGCUUUGCGAGUACCUGAAGAAAAAGCAUCGGCUAACUCCGUGCCAGCAGCCGCGGUAAUACGGAGGAUGCGAGCGUUAUCCGGAUUUAUUGGGGUUAAAGGGUGCGUAGGCGGAAUGUCAAGUCAGCGGUAAAAUUGCGGGGCUCAACCCCGUCGUGCCGUUGAAACUGGGGUUCUUAAGUGAACGAGAGGUAUGCGGAAUGCGUGGUGUAGCGGUGAAAUGCAUAGAUAUCACGCAGAACUCCGAUUGCGAAGGCAGCAUACCGGCGCUCAACUGACGCUGAUGCACGAAAGCGUGGGUAUCGAACAGGAUUAGAUACCCCUGUAGUC